rnacentral:lncRNA from 1 species
UUCUUUCUUUCUUUCUUUCUUUCUUUCUUUCUUUCUUUUUUCUUGAGACAGGGUUUCUCUGUAUAGCCCUGGCUGUCCUAGAACUCACUUUGUAGACCAGGUUGGCCUCUAACUCAGAAAUCCGCCUGCCUCUGGAGUGCUGGGAUUAAAGGCGUGGGCCACUACACCUUGCUCACUGGGAAUUUCUACCAUUUGCAUUGGUCAGACUCUAUGCCCAUUGAGCUGCUGGCAUUGAGGUAGCCCCAGAAACACAGGGUCUCCAGAGCCUUAGGGACUGCAGGAACUUGACAGCCUUUCUUCUAAUUAAGGAUUUCAUGGCACUUUUACUCCCCAUCCCAACACAAAAGCUUAAAGUGAUGUUCACAGUCGUUACAUAAGGACUUUUGAAAUCAAUGUCUUAACUCACUGUUAAUUAAGUAUGAGCAUGUCUUUGCCUCUAUUAUUAUCUCCAAGAGAUAAAUAUAAUAUUGCCUGUAGUUCUCUAUAGCUAAAGCUUUUGGUUAAAUAGGUAGUAAAAGUAAAGAAAAAAAUGUAUGUAUGCUAUAACUUGCGUCUUCCUGAUGAUAUUGCCUAAAUGCUGCUAUUAAACAGUGGCGUGAGUUGCCUGGUGCCUGAUGCUCUUGUCCUUGUUCCUUAAGGAAUUGUCAGUCAAAUGUAUCUCAUAGUGACAAACUCUAGCAGGAAUGCCAAUAAACUUAUAAAGCAAAAAU